rnacentral:pre_miRNA from 1 species
ACGUUCGGAUUCUCCAAAAGUAAUGUAUUUUUGGAGAAUCUGACACGGGU